CUACGGGCCGCUGCAGUGGGGAAUUUUGCGCAAUGGGGGAAACCCUGACGCAGCAAUACCGCGUGAGUGAAGAAGGCCUUUGGGUCGUAAAGCUCUUUUCUUGGGGAAGAUAGUGACGGUACCCAAGGAAUGAGCACCGGCUAACUCCGUGCCAGCAGCCGCGGUAAUACGGGGGGUGCAAGCGUUGUUCGGAUUUACUGGGCGUAAAGGGCACGUAGGCGGCACAGCAAGUUAAGGGUGAAAUCCCGGGGCUCAACUCCGGAACUGCUCUUAAAACUGCUGAGCUAGAGAUAGUCAGAGGCGGGUGGAAUUCCAGGUGUAGAGGUGAAAUUCGUAGAUAUCUGGAGGAACACCGGUGGCGAAGGCGGCCCGCUGGGGCUAUUCUGACGCUAAGGUGCGAAAGCGUGGGGAGCAAACGGGAUUAGAUACCCCUGUAGUC
rnacentral:rRNA from 1 species